UUUUUAAACUAUGAUUUUAAUUAAAUGCAAUAUAUUUUAGUAAUUCCUUUUAUUCCUCACAAAGCUUUGAGUUUCACGGGGGUUCAUAGCACCAGAUAUUUUUUUUUUUGAUAAGUAAAAAGAUGUUUUCGCCUCUUUGCCGGGAACCCAAACAAUGUAAAUAGUCCUUCCCAGCGCGAAUCGAACCCAGGUGGCGGAAGUUACAGCCGCAACCCCUUUACCACCAGAGCUGACUCGUUCUCGUUCACCACCACCACCACCACCAGAUAUUUUGGUUCUCUCAAAGUAAGGUGAGAUGCGAUUCAGAGUAUUGGUGCUGGUGAGGAUGAUAUCGGCAUUGGAGAGGAUGAAACUGGAGCUGCCUGACGAAUAUGCAAAACGUGUUAUGGUUCUAACGUGUGAUUCCAAAGCUGAAGGCGGAUCUUGUGAUGUGUAUUUGACUGGCACUGUUUAUUUUUUCAGAGGAAUCAUGUCGAGAAGUUGAAGCUAUAGUCAGCUACAUGAAACAAGAUGUUCUUCUCCAUUACAGUGAACUCUUUUGGUAAUGUGUUUCUCUCUCUCUAAUUACGUGUCUCAUGUAUUGCAGGUCGUCUUCGUGGAGUUGUGUGCAAGCCGAUUGUCUAUUCUGAUUCUCACACCUCAGGCUGUGAAAGUUUUGCUCUGCAUCAUUCUUAUAACAUUUGUACAUGUGUUCUAGCUCUUCUUUUAUCAAGUAUCCAUGUUCUUUACUCUGGAAUGUUGCGAUGUCUUUGGUUUUCUGGUUUCCGACCAUGUGGGAAGUGAUAGACAUGUGGAAGAAGAAGCACAACCCAUUCGGAAUAGCCUACGAAUGAUCGCAAGCAAGCUUGAUGUUUUACAUGGUGAUGAGUUUCGUGUGGCAUAUGAAGAAACAAUCAAAUAUAAUAGCCAUGUGAUCGCCAGUGCAGGUGACUUUGGUGAUCCAAGAAAAAUGUAUUCAUAGUCUUAAAACUUUUCUCUUAAGGAAUUGUAUGCAUUGGUGUUUGUUGGAAACAGAUCACUUUAAAGAGAACAUGGGCUAAAAUGCCUCUAUGGCACAAACUGAAGUUUUUGUACGGCUUUAGUGUUUCAACUUUCGAGUCGUC